rnacentral:rRNA from 1 species
GGCGCACGGCUGAGGAACACGUAGGAACCUGCCCGACCGUGGGGGAUAACACGCCGAAAGGCGUGCUAAUCCCGCAUACGCUCUCGCAAGAGAGGAAAGCCGCAAUGCGCGGUCGGAGGGGCCUGCGGCCCAUCAGGUAGUUGGCGGGGUAACGGCCCACCAAGCCACUGACGGGUAGCUGGUCUGUGAGGACAACCAGCCAGACUGGGACUGAGAAACGGCCAGACUCCUACGGGAGGCAGCAGCAAGGAAUUUUCGGCAAUGGGGGCAACCCUGACCGAGCAACGCCGCGUGCAGGAUGACGGCCUUCGGGUUGUAAACUGCUUUUCCGAGGGAUGAGACAGACAGUACCUCGUGAAUCAGGCUCGGCUAACUCUGUGCCAGCAGCCGCGG